CCAGUUACGCGUUUUUCAUACGUGCGUACACGCACGUAAAAGUUGAAUUCGCUUAAAAUUUCAUAUAAGUGCAAAUAACCUUAACAAAUACACAUUAAAUCAUACUCAAAAAACCUUUUAUAAAUUUAGUUAUUUCAUAAGUAGGAUGUAAAGCGAAUUCAACUUUUACGUGCGUGUACGUACGUAUGAAAAACGCGUAACUGG
rnacentral:miRNA from 1 species